GGCGGCACGCCUAACACAUGCAAGUCGAACGAAGUAGCAAUACUUAGUGGCAGACGGGUGAGUAACAUGUAGGUAUCUGCCCUUUGGCCUGGAAUAACACGAGGAAACUUGUGCUAAUACCGGAUAAGUCUUUACGGAGAAAGCUUUAUGCACCAUUGGAUGAGCCUGCUCUUGAUUAGUUUGUUGGUGGGGUAAUGGCCUACCAAGACUGUGAUCAAUAGCUGAUUUGAGAGGAUGAUCAGCCACAUUGGGACUGAGACACGGCCCAAACUCCUACGGGAGGCAGCAGUGGGGAAUCUUGCACAAUGGAGGAAACUCUGAUGCAGCGAUGCCGCGUGAGUGAAGAAGGCCUUUGGGUUGUAAAGCUCUUUCGUCGGGGAAGAAAAUGACUGUACCCGAAUAAGAAGGUCCGGCUAACUUCGUGCCAGCAGCCGCGGUAAUACGAAGGGACCUAGCGUAGUUCGGAAUUACUGGGCUUAAAGAGUUCGUAGGUGGUUGAAAAAGUUAGUGGUGAAAUCCCAGAGCUUAACUCUGGAACUGCCAUUAAAACUUUUCAGCUAGAGUAUGAUAGAGGAAAGCAGAAUUUCUAGUGUAGAGGUGAAAUUCGUAGAUAUUAGAAAGAAUACCAAUUGCGAAGGCAGC
rnacentral:rRNA from 1 species